UACGUAGGGUGCAAGCGUUGUCCGGAAUUAUUGGGCGUAAAGAGCUCGUAGGCGGUCUGUCGCGUCUGCUGUGAAAACUCGGGGCUUAACCCCGGGCCUGCAGUGGGUACGGGCAGACUAGAGUGCGGUAGGGGAGACUGGAAUUCCUGGUGUAGCGGUGAAAUGCGUAGAUAUCAAGAGGAACACCUGCGGCGAAGGCGGGUUGCUGGGCCGACACUGACGCUGAUGCGCGAAAGCUAGGGGAGCGAACGGG
rnacentral:rRNA from 1 species